GCGAGUGGCGGUGGACGUGAGCGGCCGAGAGGGGACGCGAGGCGGGUCUGGCCACAGGCAGCGCUAGCGAGAGCGUCUCCAGCCGGCCCCCGCACCCACACUCCACACCCUCCAGACCCCAGACCGGGAGCCACACAAGGCUGCCAAAUUUGGGAGGUGGGGAAGAGAGAGGGAGGAGAAAGAGGGGGUGUCUCCUGCGCCCCGAUCCUCCCUCUCUUCUUUAAACCAGCGACAGAAAUGAACGGUGGCGACGUGUGGCUCUGUCUACUUUUUGAGAUUCCCUCGGGGGCAGUAACUCGGUGUCCCCUACCAGCUUGGGAGGAGGAGACAAAUCCGGUUAUCCGCGUUGGGGCACUUGCUGGUAACUGGAGCUGACUGCAAGCCUGGUCCAAGGUUGGGGGAAAACUAAAAGGGAAUUAGAAGCUUACACCCCCUCGAAGGAGGAAGGAGUCCAGGACCUCCUCUCCAAUCACAGGCUCCCCUCCUGAUGCGAUGGUGACACUGCUUUCUUCUGUGCUAAGGAAACCAUCGUGUACAAAGUUCAAGCUUAACUACCAUGCAAAUGAGUUAGCGAAACCAUCAUAAAGAAAUCUCAGAGAGGACUGGAGUUCGGUUGUCAAAUGGCACACCACCACCUGGAACUUCAGCCUCAGAAGAUGUGGCUACCUCUGCUGGCCUCCAUGGAUACCUGCAAGCACCUGAGCAUACUCAAACACAGACACACAUUAACAUAUACAUACACAUAAAUAACAUUAUUCUAAAAUAAUGCUAAAUUAUUUGAAAAUUCCUGUUAUGAAACCUAUUACCGUGUGUGUGUGUGUGUGUGUGUGUGUGUUUAAGAAGUCCUCAUGAUGUUUUAAGUAAGUUUACAGUGUCUGUAUUAGGCUACAUCCAUAGCUUUUCUUGGCCACAUGUGACCUAUGUUUGGGCAUACCUGAUCAUGUGACAACUAAAACUGGUAUCUUAUGCAUAGUGGCUAAAAACCCUGGAAACACAGUCUAGGAAGGGCUCCUCAUAUUUGGAAUCCCAACGGAACAGGAGCAGGUAGCACUGGAAGCCUUCUGGGGCAGGAAGGUCCCUAGAGAAGUGAUGCUCACCAACAGGAAAGGCUGCACACACGGCCGUUCAACACCCUAAUUGCCCUUGGCUUAUCAUCCACUGGCACAGCAGCCCCUAAGGAGAUGGGAGGAGAAGGGCAAAGCAAGGAGACAGCUCCUUGUCCCCAUUUCCUACCCUCAGCUGUUCACACAUUGGGGCAAGAAUUCUUAGAGUGUAUUUCUCAAUGGAAAGGAAGGUUCUCUACAGAUGUGCGUUGUUUGUGGAAGUCACCGGGGUACUAUUUGGCAAAUUGCUGCUGCAAAACAGUGGAUGGUACCCUGGUGGCCUCCUAGUCUGAUUGAAUCCCUAAAAGUGUUUAAUUUAUCUCUGGGGGAAAUUUACACCCUGGGAAAAUCUGGUUAAAUGUAUAAAUUAAUCUUCUAACCAGCCACGAUGGAGGAUAUAAAAUCAUAAAGCCAGAAGGCUGGCACUUCCCAAGAGCAACAGGUGUAUCUCCCUCCAGACACAAGCUCACUGCAGUCUCCUGCAGGACACCUCUACUGCUUUUAAAAGGCCUUCAGGGAGAAGGUUCCAGAACAGCAUGCUGCCCUUUAGCCUGGAAGCUUCUUUGCUCAUCUGGCAGAAGUCCCUUUAGUGGGAACCAGGACUCAUUUCAACCCUCUUAGCUCCUAGAGGGAUGGAGGACAUGAACAGCAACUUCCUCUAAACCUAGUCUUCUCAGGCUCAGUGGCAGUCCUGAAGAUUCCAGCAGGAUCAGGAGCUUUGGGGGUUAAGAAUCACUAUGAGAACCUUCCUUCUCCUCUGUGGUAAAUGAACCCCUCCCCCGACUAUACCCUUUCUAUAGAACCUCCAUCAGGACAGACUAAGGCACAUGUGUUGUGGUGGCAGCCAUCAGAGACCUUCACAGCCAGGGCUGUCAGCUGCAGCGUCCACUGUGGGUCAACAGGAGCUUUGCCCUUCAGUCACUCUCAGCCACUAUAGGCCACCUGACCAGGGGGAAAUCAUGUGUGAACUUUUACAGCUUCUAGUUUUGGAGGUGACCCUCGUCACUUCUAUCCAAAUUGCCUGACCUAAAGUUGAGUCACAAAAGCACAUCUGAUUCAAGGGAGCAGAGAAAGACAGUUGUAACAUAUCCCCCCAAAGGAGGCAAGGACAAUGGUUGGUAGAGCAACACCAACAAUAAACCACAAUUAUUAAUUAAUUAAUUGAUUAAUUAAAGAAACCCUCAGGUGGGGUGUCA